rnacentral:rRNA from 1 species
GUCGGUAAAACUCGUGCCAGCCGCCGCGGUUAUACGAGAGGCUCAAGUCGAUAGAAACCGGCGUAAAGGGUGGUUAAUUCUAUAUGCAAGCUAGAGGAAAAUGCCUUCCAAGCUGUUAUACGCACCCGAAGGUAAGAAAAACCCACACGAAAGACCCUUUAAUAAAUAUGAACCCACGACAGCUUUGGCACAAACUGGGAUUAGAUACCCCACUAUG